rnacentral:rRNA from 1 species
UACGGGGGGGGCAAGCGUUGUUCGGAAUUACUGGGCGUAAAGGGCUCGUAGGCGGCCAACUAAGUCAGACGUGAAAUCCCUCGGCUUAACCGGGGAACUGCGUCUGAUACUGGAUGGCUUGAAUCCGGGAGAGGGAUGCGGAAUUCCAGGUGUAGCGGUGGAAUGCGCAGAUAUCAGGAGGAACACCGGUGGCGAAGGCGGGUCUCUGGGCAGUAACUGACGCUGAGGAGCGAAAGCGUGGGGAGCGAACAGG